ensembl:snRNA RNU6-945P RNA, U6 small nuclear 945, pseudogene
GUGCUUGCUUUGGCAGCACAUAUACUAAAGUUGGAAUGAUGCAGAGAAGAUUAGCAUGGCCCCUGUGCAAGGAUAACUCACAAAUUCAUGAGGCCUUCCAUAUUUUU